GCAAGUCGUACGCGAAAGAGGGAGCAAUCCCUUGAGUAGAGUGGCGAACGGGUGAGUAACGCGUGAGAAACCUGCCUUUGACAGGGGGAUAACACUCCCAACGGGGUGCUAAUACCGCAUGAGACCACGGGAUCGCAUGAUCCUGAGGUCAAAGAUGGCCUCUAUUUAUAAGCUAUCGGUCGAAGAUGGUCUCGCGUCCCAUUAGCUUGUUGGCGGUGUAAAAGACCACCAAGGCGACGAUGGGUAGCUGGUCUGAGAGGAUGGUCAGCCACACUGGGACUGAGAUACGGCCCAGACUCCUACGGGAGGCAGCAGUCGAGAGGCUUCGGCAAUGGGGGAAACCCUGACCGAGCGACGCCGCGUGGAGGAUGAAGGCCCUUGGGUUGUAAACUCCUUUUAUUCGGGAAGAAGUGCGAUCAGGUGAAUAAUCUGGUCGUUUGACGGUACCGGAUGAAUAAGCUCCGGCUAACUCCGUGCCAGCAGCCGCGGUAAUACGGGGGGAGCAAGCGUUGUUCGGAAUCACUGGGCGUAAAGGGCGUGUAGGCGGUCAAGUAAGUGGGAUGUGAAAUGCCCCGGCUCACCCGGGGACCUGCAUCCCAAACUGCUUGGCUUGAGUAUGGGAGAGGAUGAGGGAAUUCCUGGUGUAGCGGCGAAAUGCGUAGAUAUCAGGAGGAACACCGGUGGCGAAGGCGCUCAUCUGGCCCAAUACUGACGCUGAGGCGCGAAAGCUAGGGGAGCAAACGGGAUUAGAUACCCCGGUAGUCCUAGCCGUAAACGGUGAUCACUAGGUGUUGGAGGCAUCGACCCCUCCAGUGCCGCAGCUAACGCAUUAAGUGAUCCGCC
rnacentral:rRNA from 1 species